rnacentral:rRNA from 1 species
AGUCGUAACAAGGUUUCUGUAGGUGAACCUGCAGAAGGAUCAUUAGUGAAGAUUUGGGCAGGCCAUACGGACGCCAAAAAGUGUCCCUGGCCGCCUACACCCACUAUACAUCCACAAACCCGUGUGCACUGUCUUGGAGAAAGGCUUCAGAGAAGUUUUUUGUGGCCUCUCUUGGGGUCUUUCUUCGCUACAAACUCGAAUGGUUAGUAUGAACGUGGAACUUGGUUGGACCGUCACUGGCCAACAAACUAUACACAACUUUCGACAACGGAUCUCUUGGUUCUCCCAUCGAUGAAGAACGCAGCGAAACGCGAUAGGUAAUGUGAAUUGCAGAAUUCCGUGAAUCAUCGAAUCUUUGAACGCACCUUGCGCUCUAUGGCAAUCCGUAGAGCAUGCCUGUUUGAGUGCCAUGAAAUCUCCCACCCCAAGCGGUUUUUAAAUGAAACGGCUUGGCGGAUGGGGUCUGGAUGGGUGCCUCUGCCUGCGCUACCUAGCACAGGCUCGCCCGAAAUGCAUGAGCGCCUUGAGACACUUUGCAUCCGCCUCUCUGUUUGGGAGGAGGCGGCCAAGCAGUGUUUUUCUCCUGGCAUGGCAUGAUACGUCAUUUGCUAUGUCGCCUAAAGGAGGAAUGUUUGGUUGUGUCUGCGUGUGCUUCGAACUUGCCUCUGUGGCACAUCCCAAUUUCACUUCUGGUCUCAUAUCAGGUAGAGUCG